rnacentral:lncRNA from 1 species
UCUCAAUCUGGCACCCUAAGGUUGAGCCUCUAGCCCUCUAUUUAUCCUAGUUUUCUAGGGUUAGGUUGUUUAUUGUGUCGCGCUAAUGGGCUAAAUGAUAAAACAUAAAAAAGGCCCAAUCUUUCUUUGCAUCUUUUUCCAUUCUGGGACCUUCUAUCUUUAUCUUUUUGGCUCAAAUCAUUCAUCUUUAAUCCAAAUCUCCAAUCUUCCUUAGAAAUCUGCAAUUAACACCAAAUUUGGGAAUAAAAUACUCUUAUUCAAAUAAAGAUCAUAAAAAAUGUAAAAAGGUAUAAAUUCAUAAAUUAGGGAUUAUUUUAUAUGUAAAUUAGCAAUAAAUCCUCAUAAGUGCCUAUAUUUUAAUAUGAAAUAUCACUUAAAUUAGACACUUAUCA